AGCAGUAGCCGCGGGAACACGGAGGGUGCAAGCGUUAAUCGGAAUUACUGGGCGUAAAGCGCACGCAGGCGGUCUGACAAGUCAGAAGUGAAAUCCCCGGGCUUAACCUGGGAACUGCAUUUGAAACUGUCAGGCUGGAGUCUUGUAGAGGGGGGUAGAAUUCCAGGUGUAGCGGUGAAAUGCGUAGAGAUCUGGAGGAAUACCGGUGGCGAAGGCGGCCCCCUGGACAAAGACUGACGCUCAGGUGCGAAAGCGUGGGGAGCAAACAGGAUUAGAUACCCCAGUAGUCCCUGUCUCUUAUAC
rnacentral:rRNA from 1 species